AGAGUUGUGCUCGUGCUGGAUUAACUUCGACUGAAACGCAGGAAAACGUUGGAGAAAAUGGAGGCUGACCAGACUGUUGCAUCCCCUGGUGAGGACUCUGACUGCUUAGUUGACGUUGGGAAAAAGGAGGAAAAGGUUGAAGAUGAAAGAAAGAUUCCACCCUUAAGAAGAACAAAGAGUGUCCUUCUGACCAAAGAGAUGCUCCAGAUGGAUUCAGAGGACUUCCAAUCCUGCAUGUACAACAGUGACAACAGUGAGGA